rnacentral:lncRNA from 1 species
AUAGAACCAAGCAUAUUAUACAAAAGUAUAAUCUUUAGGGAAUAUGUAUCAAAUCCUUAACUGGAGGUCAUUACUACUCUGUACCACAACAAAGAUGAAAAAGAGUUUCAAUGAAUUAUUGGGGGGUCAACACCGUCUUUCUGUAAAGUGAUACACGACGAGGAGUAAUCGAUGUGUUAAUCAAAAGUGGAGACACUCACAAAGCAGAUAGAUAUGAAGCCCAAUUGCUCUGUUGGUAUGAAGUUGGGAGUAUAAGUCUAUCCCCAAAAGCCGACGCACCUGCUCAAGUCAAAUGGUUAACACUGUUCUCCCGCGUUCUCAUUGGGCAUCCAUAACCCCACAAUAACUAGGUCAUGACCUACAUAUAUCGAUAUUCACAAAGGGAUAAGCAUACUUCAAAAUGAGGAAAUCACAAGGUGAUAACUAGAAAGCACCUUCAGAAACUUUGCAGAAAUCUGAUGAUUAAAACUCACAACUUCAAUAAACUGGGCAAACUAAUGCUAAUAUUUGUAGGAUUGUUGACCACGUAGAUAACCCCAAACUAAGCAACCCUGACGAGUAUAGGAGCCAGCUGCCAGAGACAAACAUACAGUGAAUCAUAGUGAUAUGAAUCAUCAACUAAAAGAAGUGAAGAAUGAACACACUCCUGAGUUUUACCCCUUCCCUUUGCUCCAAUAAAUUGUGCAAGAUAAAUGAGAUGUACCCCUCUAAAUGUUAUAAAUUUGUAAAAUUAUAAGGCGUGGUACAUUUUUCCCGAAUUACAAAUAAACAAGCUCCCCUUUUCGGGGAAAAAAUGAACACAAAUAAACAAGUUUCUCUUUUAUUUGUUAGAUUAUUAUUCUAUUCAAAUCUAUUUUGUGCUCCUAAUAAGUAAUAAUUGAAACAAUAAGUGAAACCCACACGAUUUUAGGAAUGAGAAACAAGCUUUUGUUUGGAGAAAUCACAACUAGCAUCUUUUAGGUUAUAGCAUUUGAUAAACGAGUUUUUUUUUUAUUUAUUUAUUUUUUUUGAAAUAAAAAAAAGCGAACAACCAACAACCCAAAUAUCCAAAAUAAAUUCUUAAAUUCAAAUUGACUGUUUUAAGAAUUAAUCCCAAAGGCCAAAGGCAAUUCAAAGAUAACCAAUUAGACAGGAAAGAAAUUGAAGUUACAAGAAUUACCUUUAGCAUGCUAGAUGAAAUACCAUUUAAACUGUCAAUUCCAAGAGAAGACAUUGAAGAGGCAAAUCUUAACCACUAUAAAUCUCAAGCCAUUGAAGCAGCCACAUCAUAAACAUCUUCAGAGCCAGAUGUCUCCACAAAUCGAUCAGUUUCUGAAGUAACAUCUGAAAAUGCAAUUAGGCCAUCAUCUACUUUCAUGCCUUCGGCAACUUCAUCAGAAAGUAAUUCUUGCACUACUUUAGAAGAUAUCAAACCCAAACUUCUCAUCUCAAUCCAUAGUUCAAUAACUGAAUUAGAAUGAUAUGGUCUACAGAGGAAUUUUGAUAAUCUCAAGAAAGUAUUGGAGCUCAGUUCUACUUUUGCUUCUAUCAUCUCUUGUAGCAUUAAAUUAACCAUAUUAAGAUCUCUUUCUUUAACAAAACCAGAGACCAUUACAUUGUAUGUAUGUACAGUAAGAGCCAAGCCGACCUCCUUCAUAUGGCAAUAGAGUGACCAAGCCUCUCCAGCUCUACCACCCAUAAAGAGCCCUAUAAUGGCAACUGUGUAUGCUGCAACAUCAAGGGUGUAGCCCUCUUCAACUGCUUUUCUAAACACUCUAAUGGCCGCAUUAAAUUUACGGACCUUUAUAAGCCCAUCCAUGACCACAGUAUGAAUAUAAGCAUCCUGUCCAGGGAAACUCUGGAGAAUCCCAUGAUACGCAUCAACUGCUUCGUCAACUCUUCUUGCCUUGCAUAACCCAUCUACUAAUCCAACAAAAGUAUACUUAUCUGGGGUAAGGCCUUUAUCAAGCAUAUCAUUAUAAAACUUUACAGCAAGAGACGGAAACCCGGCUUUACAAAAAUAACAGAGAAGUGAGUUUCAUAGCAAUAAGUCAGCUUCUAUGUCAAGUCCACGAACCAACUUGGGUAACAUAUCAAACCUCCUAGACAAACACAAGGUGGAUAAUAAUGAAGAGACAGUACAAGAAUCAGGAGCCAAGUUCCGUGAUUGCAUGCUAACAAAAACAUCAAUGGCAUCAUCACACCUCCCAGCUUUGGCAAAGGAAUCUAUUAACACAUUACAAAGAACGAGGUCAAGGGCAUAUCCUUUGGAUUCCAUAAUAUUUAGAAUAUUGAAUGCUUCACUAACCAUAUUAGAUUUUAAAAAUCCCCUGAUUAAAGUUGUGUACGUUACAAUACUAGGUGAAGAACCAGUCUCAACCAUCUUCUCCAAUAACUUACCAGCCACAUCAAGUCUCUGCAACCGACAAAACCCAUUCAUCAACAUACUCCAAACAUUUACAGACACAGCGCUACCCAAAGUAAUCAAUAGACCCAAAACUUGAUGCGCCUCCACUAU